GAAAGAGCAGACAGCAGGACAGAAG
rnacentral:piRNA from 1 species